AGAGUUUGAUCAUGGCUCAGAUUGAACGCUGGCGGCGUGCUUAACAUAUGCAAGUCGAGCGGUAGCAGGCGUAGCAAUACGUGCUGACGAGCGGCGAACGGGUGAGUAAUGCUUCGGAAUCUUCCUCGUAGUGGGGAACAACCUGGGGAAACUCAGGCUAAUACCGCAUACGACCUAUGGGUGAAAGCAGGGGAUCGCAAGACCUUGCGCUAUGAGAUGAGCCGAAGUCGGAUUAGCUAGUUGGUGAGGUAAAGGCUCACCAAGGCGACGAUCCGUAGCUGGUCUGAGAGGACGACCAGCCACACUGGGACUGAGACACGGCCCAGACUCCUACGGGAGGCAGCAGUGGGGAAUAUUGGACAAUGGGGGCAACCCUGAUCCAGCGACGCCGCGUGUGUGAAGAAGGCCUGCGGGUUGUAAAGCACUUUUAGUGGGGACAAAAAGCCAAGGAUUAAUACCCUUUGGUCUUGAUUUAACCCAAAGAAAAAGCACCGGCUAACUCUGUGCCAGCAGCCGCGGUAAUACAGAGGGUGCAAGCGUUAAUCGGAAUUACUGGGCGUAAAGCGUGCGUAGUCGGUUAUCUAAGUCGGAUGUGAAAU
rnacentral:rRNA from 1 species